AUGAACGCAACGGGAGAGAUCGCCGGUACAUGAAGCGGCGCCGAAGGAGUAACCCUGCCCGGCAGGGGAAUCUCUCAGGCAGAAGGACCUUUGCGGGACG
rnacentral:ncRNA from 3 species